rnacentral:rRNA from 1 species
ACUCAAAUGAAUAGACGGGGGCCCGCACAAGCGGUGGAGUAUGUGGUUUAAUUCGAAGCAACGCGCAGAACCUUACCUGGGCUUAACAUCCACUGACAAUCUCAGAGAUGAGACUUUCCCUUCGGGGACAGUGAGAUAGGUGCUGCAUGGCUGUCGUCAGCUCGUGUCGUAAGAUGUUGGGUUAAGUCCCGCAACGAGCGCAACCCUUAUCCUUAGUUGCCACCAUUAAGUUGGGCACUCUGAGGAGACCGCCGGUGUUAAACCGGAGGAAGGCGGGGAUGACGUCAAGUCCUCAUGGCCCUUACGUCCAGGGCUACACACGUACUACAAUGGCAGAGACAAAGGGUAGCGAAGCCGCGAGGUGAAGCCAAUCCCAAAAACACUGUCUCAGUCCGGAUUGAAGUCUGCAACUCGACUUCAUGAAGCUGGAAUCGCUAGUAAUCGAAGAUCAGCACGCUUCGGUGAAUACGUUCCCGGGCCUUGCACACACCGCCCGU